rnacentral:rRNA from 1 species
GACCGGCAGGCCAGUUAUUAAUAACGGUGAAAUAGUUAAGGAACAGAAAUUUGCAAAAAAAACAAGAUUAUAAAGUAAAAUUUGAAUCUAUCUUAAAACCUUAGAAGCUUUUAUCCAAAACUAUGAAACCCUUGAGGGAAACCGGGAUUAGAUACCCCGUUAUUCUAGGGUAUAAAGAUUUUACCAGGGUACUACGAACAACGUUUAAAACCCAAAGAGCUUGGCGGCAUUUUAGACCCCCCAGGGGAACCUGUCUCAUAAUCGAUGAUCCACGUUAUACCUGACCCUGUUUUAUUUGUUUGUAUACCGUCGUCUUUAGGUAACCUUUCAAGAGGACCAAAGUUAGCCUAUAACACUUAAAGUGUUUGACGUCAGAUCAAGGUGCAGCUUAUAACAGGGGGAGGAUGGGUUACAAUUAUUGAUUUAUAAUACGAACAAGGUGUUUGAAAAAACCUUUAAAGGUGGACUUGGAAGUAAAACCACUGAGAAAAGUGUUUUGAAUAAGGCUCUGAAAUGU